GUUCUUGUUUCUGCCUGCUGGACCAAGUUCCUGUUGGCCCACAACCUCAAGAGUCCGGAAACGUGUCUCCAAAAACUCGUUUUUGAGUUGUGCUGGGGAGUUUCUGGACAAUGAACCAAAUCAAGACUGUGUCCCAGGUAGACACCGGAACGUCCAUAUUCUCAAGAGCGAGGUAGCAUUUUCUUGUGGUGUACAAAAGUUCUUGCAGACCAGAAGCAGUUUCUCGAGUUUGAGAAGGUUGACCAAACAAAUUUUAUAUUUGAAUAUGCACCAAAAUGCGCUUGUGGUCAUAACGCUCCUCUAAAAGCUCCCACGCCUUCUGGUAAUUAGCUGCUUCCACCGAUAUGUUCUGCAGAAACCGAUUGGCAUCUCCAAUUAAGCAGGACUGCAAAAAAUGCAGUUUAUCGAUCUCAUCUAAAGCCUUGUUAUUAUGAACGAGAGCUAGGAAUCGAUCAUGGAAACCACGCCACGUAACAUACGACCCGUCAAAUUUUGGUAGAUCGAUGCGUGGAAGUCGGAUCCCCGAUGACGUUUGCCCUGUUGAUGGUAGAGUACCCCCACUUGAAGACGCCCCACUGACUGGUGUUGAUUUUGCCAUUGCGUCCACCAACUCUGCCCUAUACUCGAGAUUCUCCUCUAGCAUACCGGCACCGAUGAUGGCUUCGUGGUACUUUUUAGAUGUCACCAUGUCGUCUUCUAACUUCGCUAGACGACCUGAAGCAUAUGCCGGAACCCUUCGUUAUUUCGGUGCUUUUUUAAAGUUGGUGAGAUCUUUAAUUACUUUACUUAAAAUACCC